UUUAGGGCAUGCAAAUAAAGAUGUUUUCGAACCCUAAAAUCAUGCAUUCUUUCACUUCAUUUUUCAUUCUUUUUGAAGAAACCCUUUGCCGCCAUGCAGUUUGAAACUAGGGUUUGUGCUAUUAUUUGAGCUCGAAUUGGGGUUGUACUAAGGCUCGAACAUGGUGAUGAAAGUCUAACUUAGACAUCUCUUGCAUGAUUCUCUGCAUGACCUCCAUAAUGACUGUCUACAUUUUGCUACUCAUACCUUCAGCUAUCCCUUGAGUGCUUUGGAAAUAUUUGCACUUUGAGAUGAUCUAUCAAUCUAAGAUGUACUGUAACUAUGUAUUUGUAUUGGAUAUACAUUGGAUAAAUAAUGUAACUACUACUCUUGUAUUGAAUUGAAAAUAGGUUUCCAUUUUGUGUCUUUUAAUUAUCUUUGCAAUCACUAUAAACUUAUUGCCUCAUUCUGAGAUAUUUGUUGUGGCUAUGAAGAAGCUUGGACCGAUUAUGCUUUGAGACUAUCCUCAUUUAACCCCAGUAGCUGCUUUAGACUUCAUCUAUGACAAUGAAUUUCUUUUGA